rnacentral:rRNA from 1 species
AUUGAACGCUGGCGGCAGGCCUAACACAUGCAAGUCGAGCGGAUGAAGGGAGCUUGCUCCUGGAUUCAGCGGCGGACGGGUGAGUAAUGCCUAGGAAUCUGCCUGGUAGUGGGGGAUAACGUCCGGAAACGGGCGCUAAUACCGCAUACGUCCUGAGGGAGAAAGUGGGGGAUCUUCGGACCUCACGCUAUCAGAUGAGCCUAGGUCGGAUUAGCUAGUUGGUGGGGUAAAGGCCUACCAAGGCGACGAUCCGUAACUGGUCGGAGAGGAGGAUAAGUCACACGGGAAGUGAGAGGGGGACAAGAGGAAUGAGGGAGGCAGCAGUGGGGAGUAGUGGAAAAUGGGGGAGAAAAUGAUACAACCGUGGAGAGUGUGUGAAGGAGAUCUUGGGAUUGGAAUGCAGUUUAAGGUGUGAGAAAGGGCAUUACGUUGAUACCAUGCUGGUUUGACGUUACCAACAGAAUAAGCACCGGCUAACUUCGUG